rnacentral:snoRNA from 1 species
AUCCUGAGAGAGAAACUUUGCUUCAAAAGAGGGGGAUACACACAAGAAGAAUAAUUGCAUUUGAUCCCAAAGACUGGCAUAGACCUCUUUGUUAAUGCCCAAUAUCUUUUGUCUUAAGAUUUGGUGUAAAAUUG